rnacentral:rRNA from 1 species
CACGUAGGGCGCAAGCGUUGUCCGGAAUUAUUGGGCGUAAAGAGCUCGUAGGCGGUUUGUUACGUCUGCCGUGAAAGUCCGGGGCUCAACUCCGGAUCUGCGGUGGGUACGGGCAGACUAGAGUGAUGUAGGGGAGACUGGAAUUCCUGGUGUAGCGGUGAAAUGCGCAGAUAUCAGGAGGAACACCGAUGGCGAAGGCAGGUCUCUGGGCAUUAACUGACGCUGAGGAGCGAAAGCAUGGGGAGCGAACAGG